AACAAAUUAAAUUUCAUUUCAAAUUUGUGGAGGCAAAAAAACCCGCCAAACAAAGUCCCCGCGUCAAAUUAGAUAACUACUUGAAACAUCCCGCCCAGUUUCCACUUCAGAUGAGAAGCCUGAAGAACUAAUCCAGACUAAUAGACUAUCCAGUUGAGGAGGCCCAUUUGGUGCGUUUGCAAAUGGAGCUCUUCAUUGGCUUAAUGACGAGCAAAAGAUUUUGUCCUUUGAUUUGGCAGACGAGAAGUUAUACUUGUGUCGAGCAGUUCCUCACAUCAACAGCUUUGUCUCUCUCAAGGCUCUCGGAGAAAAAUGUCGAUCCAGAAAAAGGUACGCUGUGAAUCCAUCACCAACGGAAUAUUUCAUUACACAGAAGACGAAGGACAAUGGAGAAUUUGAUGUCAUUCAAUUUUAGAUGCUCCUGACACCACAUUCUGUGAUUCCGUCUAUUUACUUUUUUAUGAUCAAAUAUUAUUAAUGUUUCUCUGGUUUUAGGCAAGCUGAAUCUUCGAAUUAUUAGUCUCUCUUUGUUUUAAAUUCUGAUGAAUCAUAAUAUGUAUUUGCUUUCA